rnacentral:lncRNA from 1 species
UCUUGUCUAUUUGGCAAGACUGACUUCAUUUUUCAAACUUACCUACCAAUAAAACCAAACACCCUAGCUCAAUAAAACAGUAUAGACCAAUAUCCUGUUGUACUACCAUAUACAAGAUCAUAUCCAAAAUGCUCACCACAAGGCUUCAACCUCUCAUGGAUCAUCUUGUAGACAUUAGUCAAGCUGCUUUUUCCCUGGUAGGGUUCUAAAUGAUAAUAUUUUACUUGGUCAUGAACUAGUUAAAGGAUAUGGGAGAAAGGGUAUCUCGCCUAGGUGUAUGAUUAAAAUUGACAUGCAAAAAACACAUGACUCAAUUGAAUGGCCCUUCCUUGAGGAGGUUUUACUGGGUAUGAAUUUAUGAAUUUCCCUGGGCAAUUUGUACAGUGGAUAAUGAGUUGUGUUAUAACAGUGUCCUACUUUAUAAAUAUAAAUGGUGUUCCUAGCACACCUUUUGCUGCAAAGAAAGGGGUAAGACAAGGUGACCCCCUGUCACCUUACCUGUUUGUCUUGAGUAUGGAGUAGUACCUAACCAGACUGUUGAAAAGAUUAGGACAAAAUCUAGACUUCAACUUCCACCCACGAUGCCAAAAAUUGAAUAUUAUUCAACUCAGUUUUGCAGAUGAUUUACUACUGUUUUGCAGAGGUGAUAUAGUUUCUGCUACCUUGCUUAACAAUUGUUUUCAAGAAUUCUCUGCAGCUUCAAGCCUUAUAGCCAACCAAUCAAAGAGUAGCAUAUAUUUUGGGGGUGUAAAUGAGAGUACACAGCAGUUCAUAUUACAACAACUGGGGUUUACUACUGGACAACUCCCCUUCAGAUACCUAGGAGUGCCUUUGAGCACCAAAAAGUUAUCAGUGGCCCAAUGCCAGCCUCUAAUUGAUAAGAUGGUUGGAAGAAUUACAAACUGGACAACUAAAUUUCUCUCAUAUGCUAGUAGAUUACAACUAAUUCACAGUGUGCUUGUUGGUAUACAAGACUUCUGGUCUCAAGUUUUUCCAAUACCAAAAACAAUUCUAAAAAAGGUAGAAACUAUGUGCAAAAGAUUCUUGUGGAAUGGACAUAUCCAACAUCGAGGCAAGGCACUAAUAGCAUGGGACAAGAUGUACUUCCCAAAUCAGCUGGAGGGCUUAAUAUUAUUGACAUGUAUAUAUGGAAUAGAGCUGCUAUCCUCAAACAUUUAUGGAACUUGAAUCAGAAAAAGGAUAAAUUAUGGAUCCUGUGGGUACAUGCAUAUUAUUUGAAGGGAAGGAAGCCUUGGAGCACAUGGACCAAACAAGCGUCAUGGAUUAUUCAGAAAAUCUUACAAGUUGGUAAAUGAAUUGAUGCAGCUGGUUUAAGUAUAGAAGAAGUUAUGGCGCAGAACUCAUUCUCCAUCAAGAAAAUAUACCAACAGCUUAGAGGCCAAUUCUCUAAAGUGGACCGGAGGAAACUAUACUGUAACAAUCAAGGGCACCCAAAAUGGAGGUUUAUCAUGUUUAUAGCACUUAAUCAAAGAUUAUAUACUAAAGAUCAACUAGAUAAAUGGAGCAUCCACACCAGUCUAACAUGUGCAUUAUGUGACGAGGAAAUGGAAGACCACCAGCACCUGUUCUUUAAAUGCUUAACUUCAGGGGAUAUAUGGCAAAGAAUACUCAACUGGCAAGGUGUUACAAGGGGGAGUAUGAGAUGGAGAGAAGAGGUACAAUGGGCCAAUCUGCAUGCAAAGGGGAUACUAGCAAAAACAGCAGUCUUCAGAAUGAGCCUAACCGCCACUGUAUAUCAUAUUUGGAUGGAGAGGAACCACCGAAUACUCCAGCAACGAAAGCAGCAAAGAGAAGCAAUCAGUAGACAGAUCAUCCAAGACCUUCACUGCAGGGCUAGCAUGUUUCCUAGAUUAGCUGGGUAUAUGCUUAAUCUGAACUUCUAUAGAUGAGAAAUAUGGAGUAUGUUCCUAGUUAGUUAUUUUGUAAUUACUUGAAGUUGGGACGUGUCCAACUCAGGCCAAAAACAUCUGCUCACAUCGACAUAUCGGGUAAUAAAAUUCCGGUUACCAAAAAAAAAUAUUACUAAUAACAUAGCAGAUUACAUAGUUUUUGCUAAACAAUUUGAGCACUAAAAAUUGAUAAUAAUAUCUUUGGUGGUAGGAUUUUCGUGAAACAAGUUUUUUGGUUCAAUUAUUUCAUGCAGUAUGAAGAACUACUGUUAUAUAUUUCGUUUAAAUUUUUUAUUUAUUUUGAGUACAUAUCACCUGAUUUUUAAAAAGAAAAUCUCCCAAGGGAUUGUUUGUUCAUUAUUACAAUUAAGUACAAAUUUUCCUUGAAAACUUUCAGAAAGAUUAGAAUUUCUUGGCAACUUUUGGACAUUAUUCAAGACACAAGACAGCUGACAACCCAAAUGGCCAAUGGUGCAUAAGACUGCUUUAGUGAAAGAAAUCAAAUUUUAUUUGCCCUUUCUUAAUAGAGUGGAACAGGGGAUGACAAAACUUUUCUCAAUGUCAAUGAGCUCCCAUGAGAAGCUCAUGGUCCAUAAAAGCUAGAUGUGAUUCAAAUGCUCUCUCUCAGAUACAAGGUUCUUAAUAAUUUUUAUAAUAGCUCUUUUUUAUUUGAUGUUUCACGAGGUUGGCUUUUGUCCUUUCAAAGUGUUUGUACUUUGUAGUUACAUUUUUAUUUUUUUGCUUUAUAUUGUGGUAUCAGGUAUGUGUGAUUGUAUAAUGGAUCGCUGUAUCUAUUAUGUCGAAGUUAAGUUUUAUUCUCCCCCUUGAUGUAAUUUGUUGAUAUGUUACAUAUCUAUCUACAUAUUAGGGAUCAUCGUCAAACACACUUGCACCACAAGUUUAUAUAGCCUUGGUCAUGAUUUCUCGAUGAAAAGGAAAUUUAUAGAAAUACAAUAUUGGUCUAUUUGUUGUGAAACCAUUUCAUAUUAUUACCAUUACUAAUUAGAAAGAAUAACCUAACUCUAUUGAUCCAUAUACCUUUCAAAAGGUGAUUAUGUACACACAACAGUGAUUAAAUGUUUUUUGUGUCUAUAAUGUUGUCUGUUUUUUUGAAAGACAUCCACCCAAGCUGUCACCUGCCGUGGUGGUGGGAGGCUUGGCGGACCUCUAUCAUGUAUAUUGUCAAAAAUAAUUACAAGAAGGAAGACAUAAACCAAACCUCUAGAAAGUACUUGUAGUAGCAACAAAAAAUAAGCUUCCAAAUUUCUAACAACAAACUUUGAACUAUAGGGAAGAUGAUGAUGAUAUUUUCUGCUAAGCUUAAUGAUCACCUUGAAGCAGUGGUCUCUAAGAUGUCUAUAAGCAUAACCUUAAGUAAUUAUACUUUUGCUAGACGGAACUGAAGGAAGUCUCCAGCUUAUAAGAUAGUACAAUUUUGUUCAAGGUGUUCAAUUGUCAAUCUUUAUCGCUUAUAUUCGGAAUGAAGGCACAUAAAGUCUGUCUAUUGUAAUAUUACCUCUCGCGUCACAUGGAAGUUCAACUUCAUUGUAGUAAAAUUCCUUGCUAUCCAGAGAGGUAGCUAAGAUGUCUACUACUUGAUUCCCUUCUCCGUAACAGAGUUGCACUUGGAUGCUCCUUUCCUGAACUAUACAUAAAAGAUCAUGUUAACCAAAAGUAAGGAGUCCAUUUCAAGAAUAUUGUGCAAUAACUGUAAGCAGCACCAUGAAAUACCAGAGCAGCCCGAGUUUCUAAGUAAUUGUUAGUACAGAACUGGAUAGGGGCAACAAAGACCAUAAUCAUCUGUCCAUUUCUUUUCCGCACAAUACCACCAGCUCCCGCUUUGCCAAUGACCUUAAUGAAACUACCAUUAGUAUUCAACUCUAAUCCCAUUCCAUAAUAGCAAAAGGUCUAUCCAUUUAACACUCAUGUAAUGUACUCUUGGUGUAUAAGUUUCCACAAUAGUACAAACCUUAGACCAACUAUAAUCCCAUUCCAUGUUGCAAAAGUUAUUACCAAUGGCAAUCUAGACUUGGAUCACAAUUUAUUGGCAGAUUCUAGAGAAAUUAAAGUAUUUGUCGACAUAUUUCUUACCACAUCUGGCUUUCCAGAUUUCCCAACAGGCAAUUAUAGAAAUGAUGUGCAAGAAAAGCUUGUGUGCAUCGUCUUUUGCAGGGGUGUUCCAUCACAAAAUGCCUGAAUAGCAGUAGCCCCAGCAUUUAAGUCCAAAGGAAUGGGGAAAAAAAUUCUCAACUCUGGUAGCCAAAUCAUAAGAAACAAAGAGAUGGUUUAGAAUUUUACUUUUAUCCACCCUGCAACAUGAGCAUCUGAAAGUAAAUUGGAGAUUAGGCAUGUGGACAAUGUCACUUAUGGGAAGUUUCUUUUGAGCAUUAUCCAUCACUGGGAAGAAAUCUUGGAAUUAUUUCUUGCAUCAGACCUAGACCUUGG